AGUGAACGCUGGCGGUAGGCCUAACACAUGCAAGUCGAACGGCAGCACAGUAAGAGCUUGCUCUUACGGGUGGCGAGUGGCGGACGGGUGAGGAAUACAUCGGAAUCUACUUUUUCGUGGGGGAUAACGUAGGGAAACUUACGCUAAUACCGCAUACGACCUACGGGUGAAAGCAGGGGAUCUUCGGACCUUGCGCGAUUGAAUGAGCCGAUGUCGGAUUAGCUAGUUGGCGGGGUAAAGGCCUACCAAGGCGACGAUCCGUAGCUGGUCUGAGAGGAUGAUCAGCCGCACUGGAACUGAGACACGGUCCAGACUCCUACGGGAGGCAGCAGUGGGGAAUAUUGGACAAUGGGCGCAAGCCUGAUCCAGCCAUACCGCGUGGGUGAAGAAGGCCUUCGGGUUGUAAAGCCCUUUUGUUGGGAAAGAAAAGCAGCAGGUUAAUACCCCGCUGUUCUGACGGUACCCAAAGAAUAAGCACCGGCUAACUUCGUG
rnacentral:rRNA from 1 species